rfam:Nelumbo nucifera unplaced genomic scaffold scaffold00012, whole genome shotgun sequence
AUGUGCCUGGCUCCCUGUAUGCCAUUCGUAGAGCCCAUCGGCACAUCGAUGGUCUUCGUGGAUGGCGUGCGAGGAGCCAUGCAUAU